ACGCACGCUGGCGGCGUGCCUAAUACAUGCAAGUUGAGCGCUGAAGGUUGGUACUUGUACCAACUGGAUGAGCAGCGAACGGGUGAGUAACGCGUGGGGAAUCUGCCUUUGAGCGGGGGACAACAUUUGGAAACGAAUGCUAAUACCGCAUAAAAACUUUAAACACAAGUUUUAAGUUUGAAAGAUGCAAUUGCAUCACUCAAAGAUGAUCCCGCGUUGUAUUAGCUAGUUGGUGAGGUAAAGGCUCACCAAGGCGAUGAUACAUAGCCGACCUGAGAGGGUGAUCGGCCACAUUGGGACUGAGACACGGCCCAAACUCCUACGGGAGGCAGCAGUAGGGAAUCUUCGGCAAUGGACGAAAGUCUGACCGAGCAACGCCGCGGGAGUGAAGAAGGUUUUCGGAUCGUAAAACUCUGUUGGUAGAGAAGAACGUUGGUGAGAGUGGAAAGCUCAUCAAGUGACGGUAACUACCCAGAAAGGGACGGCUAACUACGUG
rnacentral:rRNA from 1 species